rnacentral:rRNA from 1 species
GACGAACGCUGGCGGCGUGCUUAACACAUGCAAGUCGAACGGAAAGGCCCUGCUUUUGUGGGGUGCUCGAGUGGCGAACGGGUGAGUAACACGUGAGUAACCUGCCCUUGACUUUGGGAUAACUUCAGGAAACUGGGGCUAAUACCGGAUAGGAGCUCCUGCUGCAUGGUGGGGGUUGGAAAGUUUCGGCGGUUGGGGAUGGACUCGCGGCUUAUCAGCUUGUUGGUGGGGUAGUGGCUUACCAAGGCUUUGACGGGUAGCCGGCCUGAGAGGGUGACCGGCCACAUGGGGACUGAGAGACGGCCCAGACUCCUACGGGAGGCAGCAGUGGGGAAUAUUGCACAAUGGGCGGAAGCCUGAUGCAGCAACGCCGCGUGCGGGAUGACGGCUUUCGGGUUGUAAACCGCUUUCGCCUGUGACGAAGCGUGAGUGACGGUAAUGGGUAAAGAAGCACCGGCUAACUACGU